GUACAAUGAUGACAACUUAGGACACCUUUGAAGGUUAUGACCUAUGAAACCACCAUAUUCUGAGUACG